rnacentral:rRNA from 1 species
AGCGAACGCUGGCGGCAGGCUUAACACAUGCAAGUCGAGCGCCUGUAGCAAUACAGGAGCGGCAGACGGGAGAGUAACACGUGGGAACGUACCUUUCAGUUCGGAACAACCAAGGGAAACUUUGGCUAAUACCGAAUACGCCCGUAAGGGGAAAGAUUUAUCGCUGAAAGAUCGGCCCGCGUCUGAUUAGCUUGUUGGUGAGGUAAUGGCUCACCAAGGCGACGAUCAGUAGCUGGUCUGAGAGUAUGAUCAGCCUCACUGGGACUGAGACACGGCCCAGACUCCUACGGGAGGCAGCAGUGGGGAAGUAUUGGACAAUGGGCGCAAGCCUGAUCCAGCCAUGCCGCGUGGAUGAUGAAGGCCCUAGGGUUGUAAAGUCCUUUCGACGGGGAAGAUAAUGACGGUACCCGUACGAAGAAGCCCCGGCCUAACUUCGUGCCAGCAGCCGCAGUAAC